CCUUCUUAAGUCCGAUCUCGUCUAUGUUUGUACUGAGCUUUUCUUUUACUAUAUUUUUUUACUACAUGUUAUUACUGAGUUUUAGAGGCAAAACCAAGUUUUCCUCUGUAUGAAGGUCAAUGAAACUGCUAUAACUUGUUCGAACUUUCUUGGAUAAAUGAUCUUCAUGUGGAAGCAAUGAGAUUGUUCGGUUUGUGAUGAUUCAGUGAAAGAAAAUCUAUGUUCACUACACUUGAAAUUCAAUUUCUGAUUUUGCAGUGGCAAAUUAUGAUAUGUUCAGCCAACGUUUGUUUUUUUUUUUUUUUUCUGUUUUUGGUUGUUCUUCUUAAUAGCUUUACGAAGUUUUUUUUUUUUUUUUUUUUUGGUAAAAAUGUUAAGAUUAUCAUUACCAAUUUUAAGUUUUUGACAGAAUACAGAGAUAACGAGAAGCAGAAAAUUUAAAAGCAACUAUACUAACUAAACAACAACUCAAACCGAAACAAGAAGUGGAAGAUACAACCAGCUAAGAGCCCACACGAAGGACCCAUCAGAGUCGGUACAAGUCGCUUGCCGCAAAAGGAUGAACCGCAGUGAAUUACGAGACCUUGAGCCCGGGAGAAUUUGGCGAAACCCGAUGAACAAGUCUUAAUGAUAGGUACAUCCAAGAACAGCUCGCUAAUGACCUUUUAAUCCAGUUCCAACACGCACAAACCACUAACUAGAGACCUAAACCCACCUACUAGCCAGCCGAGCCUUAUUCCAAACACCAACAAACAGGCUGCAGAUAUACAAACCUGAAAACAACCACGGGAACUGCACAAAAAAGGGUUGAGAGACAGCCGCCAACCCACACGAAGCUCUCCAAACCUACCAACCUAAGAAGCCGGAAGAGCACAUCCACUGGAACUGCUUCGCCAUGGCGAAAGGUUCCAGAGCAGGGAUGAUGUGAUCAACACACGGAGACACGAGCACCUACCCAAACCGAAUGACCACGCGGAGAAGAUAGGACUCACCAUGGACAGAUUCUGAAAACCAGAGGACUGACCGGCAAACGGAGCAAGAACGAGACAAUGAGGCACAGCCGCAAGGAGGAGGACUGGAGGAGACUCACAGCAGAGAACCACCACAAGCGCUUCAAGAGAGAGGCCGCGAGAGGAGGAAGACAAAGAGGAAUCACUUGAACCAAGCCGGAUCCAGAGCCAUAGACGACUCGUUGUCCAAAACCAGGUCGACGGUGAGCGCGCUAAACCAGGAACCGCCGGCUCGCCACACGACGAGAACCAGAGAUCCGAGGAACACGCCGACGUGGAACAAACCACGCCGCAACCUCUCGAGCAGAAGCAGACCGAGAAACCACUUUCGACAAGACACCAAGUGAAAGAGAGAGACACGCGCCGCCGCACCAAUUCGCCGGGAUAACGGAAGAGAGAAGAGCAGGUAGACGAGCAGAUCCAAGGCGAAGGAGCCACCUCCUGAAGUCACGCGCCGUCAAACAGAGGGAACCGCCGUAGAUCUAAAGGAAAAAAGAACGUCCGGCGAAACCCAACCCAAAAAGCCGACCACAACCUCCAACCUGCCACUACACACCCACCUCGCAGAGUCACCAGAGACCAAACCAGCACCGGAAUCAGCCUAGGUCUUCCGCCAGCGAGAGCUCAAACCUCCAGAGACGACCACAUAUCGGUGGGGAACCAGAUGGGGAGAGAAGGGCAAAAGGAAGACGAGAUAAGGGUAACUAGGAGGAGCCCUCCGGCGUCAAAAAAGGCACGACUCGCCGGAAGCAAACGGCGACCAGCAAAGAAGCGAGCGUUUGGAGAGAAAGUAAGAGGAGAGAGAAACUCUAAAGUUCUAUCGUGUGUCCCAUAUUGAUUUCUUUUCGCUUUACGAAGUUAUAAAAGUCGACUUUUGAAAUUAGCUUUAUCACACUCUAUAUGUAUUACACAAGGUACGUCUUUCAAGACUUCGAACAUGACUGUAUCAAUGAUUGUGGACUGAAUAACCCCUAUUUCAAUGCAAGGAAUCUAAUGUUUUUUUCUUGGUUCAUCACAAAGUUGUUUACGAGUAAUCACAAGUAUAUUUACAAAGAAAGGUGAAAAAU
rnacentral:lncRNA from 1 species